UACUUAGGUGGCAAGCGUUGUCCGGAAUUAUUGGGCGUAAAGCGCGCGCAGGCGGUCCUUUAAGUCUGAUGUGAAAGCCCACGGCUCAACCGUGGAGGGUCAUUGGAAACUGGGGGACUUGAGUGCAGAAGAGGAGAGUGGAAUUCCACGUGUAGCGGUGAAAUGCGUAGAGAUGUGGAGGAACACCAGUGGCGAAGGCGACUCUCUGGUCUGUAACUGACGCUGAGGCGCGAAAGCGUGGGGAGCAAACAGG
rnacentral:rRNA from 1 species